GUCGGGAUAGCUCAGCU
rnacentral:tRNA from 133 species